UACGUAGGCAGCGAGCGUUGUUCGGAGUUACUGGGCGUAAAGCGUGCGUAGGCGGUAGACCAAGUCUGGUGUGAAAGCUCCCGGCUCAACCGGGAGGGUGCGCCGGAAACUGGUUCGCUGGAGUGCGGGAGAGGCAAGCGGAAUUCCAGGUGUAGCGGUGAAAUGCGUAGAUAUCUGGAGGAACACCCGUGGUGCAGACGGCUUGCUGGACCGUGACUGACGCUGAGGCUCGAAAGCGUGGGUAGCAAACAGG
rnacentral:rRNA from 1 species